rnacentral:misc_RNA from 1 species
UGAGUAUAAGCGUCGGCGCUCGACAAGAGAGCCUGUUGGAUUGGACCGUACCGGUGGUUGGACGAGCAGCGAGGAUUCGAAUUCGGUCUCUGGAAGUGAUGGAGAUGAUUAUGCGACAGAGGUCACCGUGAAUGAAGAAGAAUCUAGCAAUCUUGUGAAGCAUAUUGAGUCUGCAAAUACAAUGUUCUCUUUCAUCUGGUGGCUGUUGGGCUUUUAUUGGGUAACUGCUGGAGGCCAAG